rnacentral:rRNA from 1 species
AGGGUGCAAGCGUUAAUCGGAAUUACUGGGCGUAAAGCGUGCGCAGGCGGUUUGUUAAGUCAGAUGUGAAAUCCCCGGGCUCAACCUGGGAACUGCAUCUGAUACUGGCAAGCUUGAGUCUCGUAGAGGGGGGUAGAAUUCCAGGUGUAGCGGUGAAAUGCGUAGAGAUCUGGAGGAAUACCGGUGGCGAAGGCGGCCCCCUGGACGAAGACUGACGCUCAGGUGCGAAAGCGUGGGGAGCAAACAGGAUUAGAUACCCUGGUAGUCCACGCCGUAAACGAUGUCGACUUGGAGGUUGUGCCCUUGAGGCGUGGCUUCCGGAGCUAACGCGUUAAGUCGACCGCCUGGGGAGUACGGCCGCAAGGUUAAAACUC